GGCGGGACUAGGCCGGGGCUUGGGGUGGGAGCCGGCGAGGAGGCCGCGGCUGUUACGACGAGGCUGGUUGGCGGAGGGGAGAGGAGGGGGGCUUGGCAGAUGGUUGAGGCCGGUGGAGGCAGCGGGCGGCGGGGUCAGUUCCUCCUCCUCUCAGUGUUUGCCGAUGUGAGAGGCGCCUGCAAAGUGUCCCUCGGAAGCAGUAAAAUCAGUGGCACAAGUUAAAAUGCAAAGCACGCCCAACCACUCUGGACCUAUCCUGUCCACAGCAAUGCUAACCUCACCAAUAACAGCAACAUGUUCAGCAGUCCUUCAGCCAUCCAUGAAUGGAUCCAUUCCAGAAUCAGCUGUUGAUUGCAAUAAUUCUGCAACUGGUCUAGUGGAUUCUGUGCCUUCUAAUGACUCACAGGUUCUUCUGCAAGAUAACAUGGUAAACCCCAAAGAGAAAACUCCAAUGUGUCUGGUAAAUGAGUUAGCCCGUUUCAACAGAAUACAACCUGUUUAUAAGCUUCUGAAUGAACAAGGACCUGCUCACGCAAAGAUAUUCACAGUGCAGCUGACUCUUGGAGAUCAGAUGUGGGAAGCUGAAGGAAGCAGCAUUAAAAAGGCACAUCAUUCUGCUGCUAGCAGAGCCCUGAGUGAAAGUACCCUCCCCAAACCAACACCCAGGCCACCCAAAAACAAUGUUAAUAAUAAUCCAGGUAGUAUUACCCCAACAGUGGAACUGAAUGGUCUUGCUAUGAAAAGAGGAGAGCCUGCCAUCUAUCGGCCACUAGAUCAAAAGCCAGUCCCAAACUACAGAGCAAAUUAUAACUUCCGAGGCAUAUACAAUCAGAGAUAUCACUGCCCAAUGCCUAAGAUUUUUUAUGUCCAAUUGACUGUGGGUGACCAUGAGUUUUUUGGUGAAGGGAAGACUCGCCAAGCUGCUAGACACAAUGCUGCAAUGAAGGCACUUCAGAUUCUUCAGAAUGAACCAAUCCCCCCCAAAUUACCUCAGAAUGGAGAGUCAUGUAAUGAAACAGAAGAGGAAAAAGAUUCAAACAAGUCAGAGAUCAGCGUAGUGUUUGAAAUUGCAUUGAAGCGCAAUAUGCCUGUUAGCUUUGAGGUAGUAAAGGAAAGUGGGCCACCACACAUGAAGAGUUUUGUUACUCAUGUGUCAGUGGGAGAGUUCUCUGCUGAAGGUGAAGGAAACAGUAAAAAGCUUUCAAAGAAGCGUGCUGCAAUAGCUGUCCUGGAAGAACUUCAAAAACUUCCACCUCUUCCUGUGAUUGAAAAACCAAAACUUCAUUUUAAAAAACGUCCCAGAACAAUAUUAAAGACUGGACCAGAAUAUGGUCAAGGAAUGAACCCCAUCAGCCGUCUGGCUCAGAUUCAGCAAGCCAAACGAGAAAAGGAACCAGAGUAUCUUCUUCUUUCUGAAAAAGGAAUGCCUCGUCGCCGGGAGUUUGUUAUGCAGAUUAAAGUAGGAAAUGAUAUUACAUCAGGAACAGGUCCAAACAAAAAAAUAGCAAAAAGAAAUGCAGCAGAAGCUAUGUUGCUACAGCUUGGCUAUAAAGCCUCUUCUCCACUUCAAGAGCAGCCAGAAAAGUCAGGAGAGAUCAAGAGUUGGAAUGGCCAAAAUGUUGGAUAUCCUGAACCAACAAGUAACACACCAAAGGGAAUUCUCCAUCUCUCUCCUGAUGUUUAUCAAGAAAUGGAAGCCAGCCGCAACAAAGCAUCCCCUGGUACCCCUGUAAACUAUUUGUCAUCCAAGGAAAUGAGCCAAACAUCUAGUUGUUUCUUCAGCAUGUCUCCUGCCACUAAUAGUACAGCAGUGAUUGCCAGAGAACUGCUCAUGAAUGGAACAUCCCCAACUGCUGAAGCUAUAGGUCUAAAAGGAAUGUCACUCAUUUCCCCUUGUUCAACAGUACAACCUUCAAAGCAGCUGGAAUAUCUGGCGAGGAUCCAAGGCUUUCAGAAUUUCUGUUUAGAUUUGGAAGUCAGAUGCCUUCACAUCUCUUUUGAUUAUUCAGAGUUAAGCUACUGUGUACAAGAAGAGUCUCCUUUCAUUUCUAAGGUACACUACAGUGACAGACAAAAUGGCAAAGAGUGCAUUACCUGUUUGACACUGUCUCCUGUGCAGAUGACUUUCCAUGGUGUUGGAAACUCCACUGAAGACAGCCAUGACCAGACCACACUCAAUCGAUACCGAGCAGUUGAUAGUUCAAUCAAGAUUUUCCACCUGCUAUUUUUUGGUGUCCCACUGGCUCAUAUAUUGUAAAAGGGCCAAUAAAAGGAUUUUAAAAUGCCUUCUAAACAUUUUGAAUACCUAAAGUCUACCAGGAUGCUUCCUUGUACAAUAUACAAUGGACAGGCAGAAGACAAGCAAGUCCCAGUCCAACCUCUAACUACUACAAAAAACCCAGCUCAUACAUUUGUUGAAUUAUCUGAUGUUCUUUUGAUUCCUAGACAGGAGUGCAACACAUUGUGAUGAGAAUGGGAUAGUGGGAGGCUGUUGUGCUAUUUGGUUUUUUGGACUAAUGUCUUGGGAAUAAAAGUGCUAUAUAAGGUAUGCAUUAAUACGGAUAAUGAAGAUUGUCCCAGUUUUAAAAAUUACUUUAGAGUAGGGGUAGGCAAUUCUGUUGUGGGACAGGGGUCCACUUUACACAAAGACUGCACUUGGGAAUCUUCACUGUAGCACCAUGCCAAAACUGGAGGUGAUGUUUGGCACUAUUUUGCAGUGAAUUUCACCCUUUUGGCAUCCUUUAGGGUGAAAAACAGUCUGGAAAAAAUGCAAGUAAUUUUGGGAUCUUGUUGACAUGUUCAGGUGGGUACCGAGGCUAUGAAAAGAAGAUUGGUGGCUGCAUGUAGUCUGUAGGCCACUCUUUCCCCGCUUUGGUUUAGAGUAUUUCAGUACUAAAACAUUUACACUGAAUUUUGAUAUAAGUCUGCUUGCAUAAGUUCUUACUAGGCACCUAGCCUAGGAUAAAUCAAAAUCAGCCCUGGCUGCCUUUUAUUUUUCUCAUCUAUUGCAAAACCAAACAUUUCCCUUUUUUAAAGAACAAGAAGAAGAAACCUACCACACCCACCUUCCUUGAAAUUUUCUGCUAGAGCAUGUUCUUUUAUUCAGGGAAGUAUAAAGUAAGCACAAAUAUAAAUUCCUCACCAAAAUUACACAUGUUCCACUAUUUUCAGUCAUAAGAGGGCAACAAGAUUACACAUCUUUAGGUUCUCCAGUGGUGAAUUAACUAAACAAAAAAGACAACUUUACUUGUUUGGGAAAGCUUUAUUAGACAAGGAAUCUUUGAAGACCCCUCACACAAAAGAUUCUCCUAUGUUUAGACUUUAUAAUGUAAACAACUAAUUUAAUGCAUCACUAAUGAUCUAUAAUAGAUGCCAUCUUACUACAUGACCACAAGUAAGAAACUGAUGUAAUCUGAGAGAUAUUUCAAAGUAAUUAAUUUGGGAAUAGGAAAAGAACUUCUAUUGUGUAAACUUUCCUCCCUUCCCCCAUCUCUCUUUUCAAAAAGAACACAAUUAGAAGCUGUAACAGUAGAACAUUUGCUAAAAAGUUCCAAGCCAUCAUACCAAUUGAUUACUAAAGUGUAAAUUGCAGUAGGUUUUGUUUGUCUGUUUGUGGUGCAAUUGUUGAGGUUUUUUUUUAAUCCACUCCUGAUUUGAAUUUUUAUUCUGAAAUAAUGACUACAUGUUUUGUUAACAUUUCUUUCAAACUAACAUGCAUUCUUUUCCCCCAUUAUUUUUAAUAGUAAAACAUCCACUGUAAUAACAUCUCUGUGAUUGUUACAAAAAUGUUUGUUGGCCUCUUUCUGUAUUUAUUAAAAUAGUUUGUUUUGCUUAAAACCACUCAUAACAUUUGAAAAGUCAUGUUUCCUUUCUUUUUUUGGCACUUUUCCCUGUCCUUAAAUUUAUAUGUUAUUUUCUAUGUUCUUUUAUAUAUUAAAUUAACUUUCCUUUUCUGCUUUGUUUCUAAUACUCUUUUAAGAUCUACUAUCUUUCUGUCCAUAUUCAGAAACAGAGACUUGUCCAAUUCCAACAUUAUCCCCACUAUUUUUUUUUAAAAAAAAUCCAAGAUAAGAAAUCUUUUCAAGUAACUCUCUGGCUCAUAUAGGCUACAAUUCCUAGCUCUGGCUGAGUAGAAGUCUUGCUUGGCUCUCAUCCCACAUAGCCAACUCCCCUUUCCGACCCCAUAACAUGUUUUCAGGCUGCUCAUAUUCCACUCACUAUACUGGCUAUAAUCCUUCUACUUGUGCUUAUGCACUGACGUCAACCGAGAAAUCUUUACUCUUCACAUACACAACGCAAGACCUCCCGUCUACAAGUAUUGAAGAUAAUCAGGCCAGAAAAAAAUCAAGAUUUUCCUGCAUACCUUAGAAGCAAACUCUUCCACCUCCUGUAGGAAGCCCUUACUGUUUACUCCCCCUGACUUUGAUGCCAACCCAUGUCUUCAAGCAGCAGAGAUAGUUAGAAGGAGAAAUGACUGUGCAGUUGCAUAGAAUUAAGAUUCUCCACAAUCAUAAACAUUAGGGGAUUUUUUAAAAAAAGUUGACAUGCAGUUGCUUUGGCCACUGAGUGCAUCUGAAUAGAACCUAAUUUCCAAAUUUAUCUCCAUCUUACUGAAUACUUCAAGUUUUAUAAGUGCUAUAAAGGUUUUCUGAAUCAAUCGUAUGUAUUACAGAGAUUUAGGAUGCUGUUAGUGAUUAAUCUUUUGGAGGAGAAAAUCAAUUACAAUUACUUGCUAAGCAAAAUAGCCAAGUAUGUUCUCUUUAUGGCAACUACGAUUCAAUAUAAGCUGUGGAAGGAAGUAAUUACUCUAAAUUGAUUUAAUAAAUAUAGUAAUUGUGUGCAACCUAUCUGUGUUGUUUUUAAUUAGUAGAAUUAAGUUGAAGAGAAAUAGGUUUUUUUAAAGAAAUGCACAGUGACAAAUUUGGUCAUGUUUCUCUUUUUACUGAUUUUUAUCUUGAAUGUGAUAUUGAUCUUGUCAUUUAUGAAAGUUUUUUUUUUAGAAUUUUGUGAGUUAAGCUAAUGUAAUUUUUUCAUUAGUUUUUACACAGCAUUACAUCUCCAGUAGUAUAGAUUGACAAAUUCACAGA